AAAGUCGAAACUGCCCUUCAGCCCAUUUGUUCCCCAAUAGCGAACUCCGACAAGCAGAUCGCGCACUCCUCCGCCGCGAGUGCGCGCGCGGAUUCGAUCACCUUCUCCGUCAACACGCAUGAUUUCUCUCCGGCGACUGGAUCCGGCGCUGCCGCAUGCGCAAGUUGUUUUUACGGGUACGACUAAGGCACUGUUUACCUUGAAAUCUCCCUAGUUCGAGUACGGCUACGAUUGGCCAUUCCAGACACCGCAUGUGGUCGUCGGCGGCGAAAAUCGGCUGUUUCCGGCUGGUCAGAUGGCUUGCAUUCUUGAACCACCCUUUUCCCUGAGAUGUGAACUGAACACUUACACUUUUCCCGCCUGCAAAAGCUUCCAUGGUCAUCGUCCCGUGGCAUCCAUUACUAGCAUCUCCAACGGUGAAUGUUUGAUUGACUCGACGAUCCAUCCGGGGAUCGGUGAGCACAGGUCCUGGCGCAUGGGGAGGACGAGGAUUCCAGUGGAGUAGUUCUUGAAGACGUGGGGGCCUGUCUCAAAGCCUCCAUUCUUCACCAAAUUCCCUGGGAAUUAUUUAUCGAGGGCAACUUUUCCUUGAUAGCGAUGGAGUCGAGGAGAGGUCCACAGGUUGGAUCUUCUUGCAUCCCGGGAUUGUGGAAUGUGACCUUCACAACGCUGGAAUUCGCCCUGAAACUCCAGGCGUACGUAUCCCCUCCGUCG